GACGAACCGUGCAAACGUUGUUCGGAAUCACUGGGCUUAAAGGGCGCGUAGGCGGCUCGCCAAGUCGGGGGUGAAAUCUUUCGGCUCAACCGGAAAAGUGCCUUCGAUACUGGCGGGCUGGAGGGAGGUAGGGGCAUGUGGAACUUCCGGUGGAGCGGUGAAAUGCGUUGAUAUCGGAAGGAACGCCGGUGGCGAAAGCGACGUGCUGGACCUCUGCUGACGCUGAGGCGCGACAGCGUGGGGGAGCAAACAGG
rnacentral:rRNA from 1 species